CAGUGAGGACACAGCCUGGUCACUGAGGUCAGAGGAGGCGCUGGAAGGUUUCCCUAAUAGUUCCUGGUGAAUCAAAGCAGAACCAUAAAGGUUGCUGGACUGCAUGAUGGCCUUACCCCUGAGCAGUCAUCCUGUUAAAGGAGGAACCAGUUAGAAGCUGUUUUCAAAGUAGCUGAGCAGAUUUCAUCUCAACAGACAAAGCCGAUGGCAGAAGAUGUUUGGAGAAGAACUUCAGGUCG